UACGGAGGGUGCAAGCGUUAUCCGGAAUCACUGGGUUUAAAGGGUGCGUAGGCGGUCUAAUAAGUCAGUCGUGAAAUCGCUGGGCUCAACCCAUGCAAUUGCGAUUGAUACUGUUAGACUUGAAUGGGGUUGAGGCUGGCGGAAUGCGACAUGUAGCGGUGAAAUGCUUAGAUAUGUCGCAGAACACCGAUUGCGAAGGCAGCCAGCUGGGCCUUUAUUGACGCUGAGGCACGAAAGCGUGGGGAGCAAACAGG
rnacentral:rRNA from 1 species